rnacentral:rRNA from 1 species
GACGAACCGUGCAAACGUUGUUCGGAAUCACUGGGCUUAAAGGGCGCGUAGGCGGGCAAGCAAGUCCGGGGUGAAAUCUUUCGGCCCAACCGGAAAAGGGCCUUGGAUACUGCUUGUCUGGAGGGAGGUAGGGGCAGACGGAACUUCCGGUGGAGCGGUGAAAUGCGUUGAUAUCGGAAGGAACGCCGGUGGCGAAAGCGGUCUGCUGGACCUCUACUGGCGCUGAGGCGCGAAAGCCAGGGGAGCGAACGGG